rnacentral:lncRNA from 1 species
CGCCGCCGCCGCCCCAGCCCCGCCCGCUUGCGGCCCCGUUCAGCAGCGCCAGCCUGCCUGACCGACGGACAGACACGCAGGACGCUCCUCCCAAGGAGCGCCCGCAGGCGAGGUCGAGACCCCGCUGGGCACCCCCGCCUCCAGGGACGCCGCCCCGGAGGGCUUCUCGGAGGCGGCGGCCUUGGCCUCAGGCCUGCGGGGUGGGGGGGCGGGAGGGGAGGCCGACAGCCCUCGCCGCCCGAGGAGACCUGGUAGCCAGCUGGGCAGGGACGCAGUGGAGCGGGUUGGAGUCUCGGCAGGGGCACAAGAGGGCGGGUGCAGGUAGCCACAGGGUAGAAGGAGCAGCAGCGGCGGCGACAGUCAGGGACGUCCUGGGAGGCAGGCGAGGGCGAAAAGCAGCCAGGCUGGCCCUCGGGGCUGCCCGCUUCCAGGGGCACCACAGGAGAGGGAUCAGCCUGAGCUGGACGCCUGGGGAGCCUCAGCCCGUGUUUUCCAGUUUCUCUACUCUGAUUGGUUUUCUGCCGCUGGUCCUGGAGCUGGCGCAAAAGCAUCCCGUCGCUAAUCCACCAGUGGACUCCUUCCAAGCCUCCUGUCCUCUGCUGUCAGCCUGCAGUGAGGCUGCCCAGCAACACUCCAUUUUGCCAGAGCAAGGAUGGGGGAAGUCUGCUGCUGGCCGGGGGCCGAGGCCCCUCAAAGAAGUGGACCAGCCCAGGAAGAGGCUUCUGGGUACACAGGUUGACAGGACUCCCUGGCCUCACCUGAGGCACAGGUUGAAGGGCCUCACCUGCAUGCCCAGCCUCAUGUUGCAGAAAAUCUGAGCUCUAGGGCCUGGAUCAUCCUUCAACUUGUCCUGUGCUCUGGCAGCCCUCCAGGUGUCUCCUUCUGCACAUACUAGGGAGUGCCACCCUGCCUGCCCCGAAGUCACUGCUGGGAUCUGUGAGUACAGGCCUGUCAAGUCCUUUUGCCAAAGUUGAAAUUAUAGCUAACUUUCCAUAGUAGAUCUCAAAGACAGACACUUGGAGCCUCAUGUGGCCUUGCCUCCACUAGGUGGAAUCCUGACCAUGGGGUGGGUCUCUCAGGGAUCACUACCUGACAGCUUUCUGCCCCAUCUGGGAUCAGACCUACCUCU